rnacentral:rRNA from 1 species
UACGGAGGGUGCGAGCGUUAAUCGGAAUUACUGGGCGUAAAGCGCGCGUAGGUGGUUCGUUAAGUUGGAUGUGAAAGCCCCGGGCUCAACCUGGGAAGUGCACUCGAAACUGCCUAGCUAGAGUCUCGGAGAGGAAGGUGGAAUGCUUGGUGUAGAGGUGAAAUUCGUAGAUAUCAAGCAGAACACCUGUGGCGAAGGCGGCCUUCUGGACGAUGACUGACGCUGAGACGCGAAAGCGUGGGGAGCAAACAGG